rnacentral:lncRNA from 1 species
UCACCACCGUUCGCAGCCACCACGACCGCUCGCAACAACCACCAUCGUCUGACAGGUCUGAUUAGUGGAGCAAUAUCGUAUCUGGUUCAACGUCAUUAGUUAUGGAUGAACAACUCUCAGAGUGAAGCAGAACAGGCAACUGCCCAGGCUAAGGCCGAAGCUCUGGAAAAGACCAGUCAGCUGAUGGAGCAAGCCAGCAAUGCUGCACAGUCCGCCUAAGAGUCGAUGCAGCAUGCUGGCCAGCAGAUUAAGGAAAAGGCACAAGUAGCAACCAAGGCAGUGAAGAACGCAACAGGGAUGAACAAUUGAACCCCGUGGAUCAAGUUUGAUCAACCACCAUCGUUUCUUUUCUUUUGACCAGAAUGUUUUCAGUUCUUUAUAUUUACAAAAUUUUAUAUUAUUUUUAUAAUUUCGUUCUUUUGAGUCAUUGAUUUUGAACCAGAAGAUCUAGAU